ensembl:lncRNA
GUGUCUAUGGAGGUUCAAAUGCAUGGAAGACUCAUGCAUUUUUCUCUUUUUUUGGCCGUUCCUAGACCUCCUAAAUAAGGCAUUUUUCCCUAGAGUAGGCUCCCGGGCAGCAUGUCAGGGCAGUGGCUGAGUCUGCUUGCCGGGGGGUCAGGAAGGCUGUUCUUCCAGGAAGGGCUGCAGAGACCCUGGGAACAGGACUAGGCUGCUCACAAGUAUGAAGAGAAUGUCGGGAGAGGAAGUGGUGGCUGUGAGUCAGCAUGAGUCAUCUCGUUCCAAUGAGAAUGAAGACUGAGGUGUGCGCCUUUUUUUUCUCUCUCUCUCACUUUUUAAAUUUUUUUUAUUUUUUUGAGUCUCAAUCGUGUGGACAUCACUGGGAAUGAAGGGAAAUAACUGACUGAAUGGUCGUUGCUUUUUAAGUUUCAAACCGACAUUCCAGGCGGGUUGUGCCUGAGCCAGCCUCGGGCUUUCAGACCUUCAUAGCCUGGUCCUGAGAAGGUAGAGCUCUCAGCUUCUCCCUGGACUCCCGUGGACCGGAAACAAAGCAGAAACGCGAAUCCCCGGCUCAGGCGUUUACUCGAAGAUGGGCAAAGUGAGGUGAAGCACGAGGGGAUAGGAUGUGACUGAGCCGUACAGCCUCCAGCAUCUUGCUCCUGGACGGACUGGAUCCUACAGGGAGACUCUGGAGCUGGUUACUACAAGGUAUUGAAUAUAGUUCCCUGUCCUAAAUAGUAGGCCGUUAUUGCUUACCUGGACUGCAAGGAGAUCCAACCAGUCCAUUCUGAAGGAGAUCAGCCCUGGGUGUUCUUUGAACGGAAUGAUGCUCAAGCUGAAACUCCAGUACUUUGGCCACCUCAUGUGAAGAGUUGACUCACUGGAAAAGACUCUGAUGCUGGGAGGGAUUAGGGGCAGGAGGAAAAGGGGACGACAGAGGAUAAGAUGGCUGGAUGGCAUCACCAACUCAAUGGACGUGAGUCUGAGUGAACUCCGGGAGUGGCGUGCUGCAAUUCAUGGGGUCACAAAGAGUCGGACACGACUGAGCAACUGAACUGAACUGAACUGAUUGCUUAUCUGUUUUACAUAUAGCAGUGUGUAUCUGUUAAUCCCAAGUUCCUGAUUUAUCCCUCCUCCCUUCCCCUUUGGUAACCAUAAAUUUAUUUUCUAUGUCUGUAAGUUUAUUUCUGUUUUGUAAGUAAGUUCAUUUGUAUUAUUUUUUAGUUUGUGCAUAUGAAUGACAUGAAAUGAUAUUUGUCUUUGACCUGCUUCACUUAGUACGACAAUCUCUAGAUCCAUCUAUGCUGCCGCAAUGGGCAAAAUGUCGUUCUUUUUUGUGGCUGAUUCGCAUUCCAUGGUAUGCGUGUGCCACAUCUCUGUAUCCAUUCGCCCACUGAUGGACGUUUAGGUUGCUUCCAUGUCUUGGCUACUGUAAAUAGUACUGCUACAUACACUGAAGGACAUGUAUCUUUUUGAAUUAGAGUUUUCUCCAGAUAUAUGUCCAGGAAUGGGAUUGCUGGGUUGUAAUACAUGGUAACUCUAUUUUUAGUUUUCUAAGGAACCUCCAGAGGCUUCCCUGGUGGCUUAGUCGGUAAAGAAUCCACCUACAAUGCAAGAGACCUGUGUUUGAUCUCUGGCUUGGGAGAAGGAAAUGGCAACCCACUCCAGUAUUCUUGCCUGGGAAAAUCCCAUGGACAGAGGAGCCUGGCGGGCUGCAGUCCGUGGACUUGUAAGAGUUGGACACAACUUAGCAAGUAAACCAACAUACUGUUUUCCAUAGUGGCCACCAAUUUACACUUCCAACAACAGUGGAGGAGGGUUCCCUUUCCUCCACAACCUCGCCAACAUCUACUAUUUGUGACCUUUUUAAUGACGGCCAUUCUGACCCGUGUGAAGCGGUUCGUAACUGUAGGUUAGAUUUGCGUUUCUGUAAUAAUUAGUGAUGUUGAACAUGUUGUCUUGUGUCUUUUGGCCAUCAGUGUGUUUUCUUUGGAGAAACCUUGGAUGGAGAGUGGAUUCUGGGUGCCAUAACUGCUUGCCUCCAAUACUUACCAUGGCCGUUGUGGUCAGUGAUGUACGUUCCUUGUUGAUGAUUAAUCGACUCCCACUUGGAAACCUCUGACGCAGCCUCUACUCCUGGGGUUAGGUCUGAUCUGUAUCAUUGGAUUACCUUCUUUUUAACCCAGUUUUUACAGAUCUAAUCUACUAAGGAAAUGUUUGAAUUUUACUCAACCAAGUGACUUCUGGUCUAGUUUUGUCUCUGCUACGAGAUGUCACAGAGCAGCAGGGUGGAAGAAGUGAAUCCAGCCUUCAUUCCUAUAUGAAAUAGACGAUUCCUGAGAAUGAUGUUAGUCAUUCCCUCUGGCAUACUGUUAGUCUGUAGAUAAUUACACUGACCAUCCUCUUUGUUCCAUAAUUAAUACUUUCAUGGGUUUCCAUCUUAAAGAGAAAAAAAAAAAUUAUCAAAUCCAAAUCCCCAGAAAAGGUGGUCCAUACCUGCUCUCUUGGACCAAGAUGGGACUCUUUCUCAAGGGCCCAAGUAUGGCUUCAAGCCCCUUAGGACUCACCGUCCUACUCUCCCCAGGACGGCCAGUCAUUGAGAGGCAAGUGACAUGCUGUUCCAGAGGGCAAAAUUGGGGCACAGGGCUUCCCUGGUGGCUCAGUGGUAAAGAAUCUGCGUGCCAAUGCAGGAGACCCUCCCUGGUCUGGGAAGAUCCCACAUGCCGCGGAGCAGCUCAGCCCAUGCUCUAGAGCUGGGGAACCGCAGCUACGGAAGCCCGAGCACCUAGAGGCCCCGCUCUGCAACGAGAGAGGCCAGUGCAAUGGGAAGCCCGAGCACCACAACUAGAGAGAAGCCCCAGCUCUCAACCGCGGUAGGAAGCCUGCGCAGGAGAGAGGAAAGACAGCCCAGUGCAGCCAGAAAUGGAUAAAUGUAACAGAAGCAAAGAAAAGCAGGGCGCACCCCGGUGUGGCAUCCCUCUACUUGUGUGGGCAGAUGUUACAGCCCCACAUGACCUUCUGUCUUGCAGACUGCACAUCGUCUCCAGCUGUUUCACGUCAUUCAAGGUUUCCAGCAAUCUAAACUCACCAGUUGACAUUGUCAGGGCACAAUGUACGACAUUUUGUUUCAUUUUAACUUCGUUUGGUUUCAAUACCAUCUUUGUCCCUAUAGCUUUUGUCUUUACUUUAAAAAAAGUCACCUAUAAAGCUCAUUACCUAGAGAUGACUAUAAGAAAGAAGAAACAAAAUGUUAACUAUUUUUUCUGUAUAUAAAAAGUAUAUAUGUAUUUUACUUUACAAUAUUAGGAUCAUAAUAUCUCCAGCAGUUUACAUUAGGAAAUAGUCUUGUAUAAUAUGCUUAAUGUCUGUGCAAUAGCUCACCUUACAAAUAUAUCAUGAUUUAUUUAGCCAUACCCUGCUGCUGCUGCUGCUAAGUCGCUUCAGUCAUGUCCAACUCUGUGUGACCCCAUAGAUGGCAGCCCACCAGGCUCCCUUGUCCCUGGGAUUCUCCAGGCAAGAACACUGGAGUGGGUUGCCAUUUCCUUCUCCAAUGCAUGAAAGUGAAAAGUGAAAGUGAAGUCGCUCAGUCGUGUCCAACUCUUAGCGACCCCAUAGACGGCAGCCUACCAGGCUCCUCUGCCCAUGGGAUUUUCCAGGCAAGAGUACUGGAGUGGGUUGCCAUACCCUGCUGGCUUGCUGCUAAAUUAGAAAAAAAUUCCUUGAAGUCUCACCGCUGGGUGAGAGUAAUUUCAGUCAAUCCUCUUGACAACCCUGUCAGAUAAGAAUUAUGAUUAUUUCAGUUUAUAGCUUGGAAGGUUAAGUAAAUUGCUCAAAGAUACUCAGCCAGUGAGUGCUGAGGGGAGAAUCUAAUUAGCACCCCUGCUGAUACCGUUGCCUUGUCACUGGAUCCUUGUAUAUGAUGGUGCUGAUUUAGUUGCUAAGUCGUUUCCCACUCUUCUGACCCCAUGGACAGUAACCCUCCAGGCUCCUCUGCCCAUUGAUUUCCCAAGCAAGAACUGGAGUAGGUUGCCCUUUCCUCCCCCAGGAGAUCAUCCCUACCCAGGGAUCAAAUCUGAGUCUCCUGCACUGCCCAGGGACUCUUCACCACUGAACCACCAGAAAAGUCUACCCUUGUAUAUACCGUCAUUUAUUUUUGCCAUCUUGAAAGAGAAAUGUUACCUUACUGUUUUUAUUUGCAUUUAUUUGGUUGUUGGCAAAUCUGAGUGUCUUUUAAAUUCUCAUAGAUCAUUGGCAUUAACUUUCCUUUAAAAUCUUUGCUUGUAUUUUUUAGUCUGUUUUUCUGUUAGUCUUAUCCUUGGCACACACAUGGGCUUCUCAGGGGGCUCAGUGGUAAAGAAUCUGCCUGCCACUGCAAGAGAUGCAGGAGACAUGGGUUCGAUCCCUGGAGAAGGAAGUGGCAACCCACUCCAGUAUUCUUGCCUGGGAAACCUCACAGACAGAGGGGCCUGGCGGGCGAUAGUCCAAGGCGAUGCACAGAGCGGGACAACACUUAGCGGUGAGCCCUCGCACAUGCGUGUGUGUCCGUAUAAACACGCACACAACUACCCACUCUCUGAUACAUAUGUUCCCAGUUAUUCUCUUGUCUUUUAAUUUUAUUAUGUGAUUUAAGACCCUGAAGUUGUAAAAUUUUUAUGUCUACCGAUAUGUUCCUUUAUGAUCAUUCCCAGGAGUUUUAUCUUUAGGGUGUUUUCACACCUCUCAGAUGCAGAUAAAUAUUUGUUCUUAUUUUCUUAGUGGUACAGGCAGGUCACUUCACAUUUCAUGUCUCCAUCUGUCUGGAAGGUAUUGUUAAUUGUCUCCUCACAAGGCGAGUCCAGCAGUAUGUGAGUCAAAGUUUGUGUGGGAUAACCACGCCUAUGACCUGUUCCAUCAUGCCUGUUACCUAAAAGAUGAGCUCUUAGCAGAUUGCCACACCUGGGUACCUGCACUGGCCCCUGAGGGCAGCACAUUAUAGAGACAUUAUACUUCUGUGGAUACAACUAAAGCUACACUGGCUUUUAGCACUCCCAUCCAGGACUCACUGACAGUAACUUCACGGCAACACAGGCUGCCAGACUUUCUUUUCUGCUAAGAGGGUGAGGGUAUAACUUUUAGAGAAGCAUUUCCGCCGAUUGCUAUAAAUUGGCAUGUAACACUUCUCCGUAACUAUAUCCAUCCAGUAGAUAGUAUUUGAUCUUUGAUUUCUUAUCUUGUAACAUAAUUUCCAUUAAUAUAUCCAGGUCAGUAUAUUCUUCAGAACUGUGCAC